UACGUAGGGUGCGAGCGUUAAUCGGAAUUACUGGGCGUAAAGCGUGCGCAGGCGGUUCGUUGUGUCGGCGGUGAAAGCCCCGGGCUUAACCUGGGAAUGGCCGUUGAAACUGGCGAACUGGAGUGUGGCAGAGGGGGGUGGAAUUCCGCGUGUAGCAGUGAAAUGCGUAGAGAUGCGGAGGAACACCGAUGGCGAAGGCAGCCCCCUGGGCUAACACUGACGCUCAGGCACGAAGGCGUGGGGAGCAAACAGG
rnacentral:rRNA from 1 species